UCGAAUACACUUUCAUUUUCGAGCUCUUUUUUCCCUCUCUGAACAGCUCUCUUUCCCUCUCUUUCUCUCUUGCGAUUUUGAAGGUUUGAAGGUCUCUCUCUUUCCCCUCUCUUUCUCUCUUGCGAUUUCAAAGGUCUGAAGCUCUCUGUGAUUUCGAACCGGCGAUUUUCCCACCUCCAAAUAUGGAAGAGAUGAUUUGAGACUUAAAUCUAUUCAACAGCUUUUCAAUUGUGGUAGUAUCUUUCGCAGAAAUUGCUUGAACGCUAGCUUGGAAUUGUGAUCACUAGUUGACAAUUAUGAUUCAUGCCAAUACUCAAAGUGUUGCAUAUCUUGACUCGACGAAUGACUUUAUCCGAACUGAUAUUAUGAAAUGUAUCCAAAAUGCUGUGGACAUGUACAGGAUCGAAAAAAAUAUACGAAACAAGGGUCCAGUAAAAAUCAACCAAUACACGUGUCGACAGUAGCCGGAUGGAGUACAAUGUGGUUAUUAUGUUAUGAAGAUUAUCUAGAGUUUCAUGACAGUUGUUAAUCCUGCAAGUUUUUUGAAAAAUCAUUUCAAGUUAGAUGCUCCCUAUAGUAACGAGGAGAUCAAUGCCGUACGGGAUGAGUGGGCCGAAUUUGUGAAGCCUUUGAUUAUAGAUUAAGUACUUAAGGUUACUACACUUUUCUUAUAAUACAUGAGUAACAAGUUUUAUGAUUAUUGUUAUCUUUUGCAUAUAUUAUUAGUUUAUAUUUAGUUUACGAUAUACAUGGAAUUUAAGUUUUAGAAUUGAUUUUAUUAACAAUUUUGGUAUUGUGUGAUUAGUUAAUAGAAUCGAUUACUAAUUUUAUAUAAGUUUUCGAAAUGUUAUUUUAA